rnacentral:lncRNA from 1 species
AUGUUCCAAGCCCACCUAAAAGUGUUAUAGGCCCACCUCAAGUAUACUUGCCACCUAUUGUUUAUCCACCACCACCUUCAACUCAUAAGAAGCCACCACAAUAUGCUAUUUGGUGUGUGGCAAAGCCUACAGUUCCUGAUCCUAUAAUUCAAGUGGCUAUGGAUUAUGCCUGUGGGUCUGGGGCUGACUGUAAAUCAGUUCAGCCUAAUGGGAUAUGCUUUCAGCCCAACACAGUGUUGGCACAUGCUUCUUAUGCAUUUAAUAGCUAUUGGCAGAACACUAAGAUUGGUGGGGGGACUUGUGAUUUUGGUGGUACUGCUAUGCUUGUCACUGUUGAUCCAAGUAAGUUUGCACUACGUACCAUAUUUGAUUACCUUUGUUAAAGAGAUUAAUUUUCAUAUAUUUCAUUUUUUUUUGUAAGUAAUUUUUCCAUGUAUUUCAUGUUCUACACUGUUAGCACAUUUACAUGUUGAUCUAAUGAUAAAAAAAAAAAAAAAAUUUUGAAUCGGCAAAAUAUUAUAUGUAUGGACCGUAAAAGUUGAUUAUGAUAAAAUUUAAACAGUUGAUUAGGAUAAAUAAUUUAAUUUUUUGGUACAAAUAAUAAAAUAAAUUUUAAUGAAAUUAUAUGACAAAAUUAACACUUCACAUGUUUCAUAUAUAUCGAGAUUCUUUUUUUGUUACAAUGAGAUCCUUUUAUUUAGCUGUUAGUUAAGUCAUUUCACAUCACAUCACAUACUAUAUAUAUCCACACAACAGGCAUAUGCCACUUGAUUUCUUUUAAAUUGGAAUCUAUCCGGGUAGAGAAAACAUGAAUUCAUGACAUCGGUAGCCGGCGUCUGAUUAAAAAUAAAGGUUUUUUUUAAAUUACCUUUAAAGAAUGGUGGGUAAUUUAUCCACCAACCAAUGAAAAUGAGCAAUUUAUUUGUGGAGUCAAGAUAGUUCAUGAAUAUGUGUUUAUGUGGCUAAUGUGUAUUGGUUGGGGUAAAUUACCCAUCAUUCUUUCAUGGGUAGCCUAGUUGCCACCAAAAAUAAAUGGUUCAAAUAAAUAUAUAUUUUAAUUUAUAAUUUAAAAAAAUAUCAAAUUUAAAUAUGAAUGGUUUAAUCUUGAUCAAACAACUAUUGAUGUGCUAUUGUGUGAUGUGUGCUUGAUCCCCUUUCUUCUUUUGAGGUGCAUUCUUCAUUGUCACACUCGGUGGUAUUAGAUUCGCGCACAGUCACUUAAAGCCCACAUUCACCUAUUCAAAACGUUGUUGACUUAUAUGGAUCAAGAUCUAAAGGAAUUUUAAGCUGGUUUUUAAGAUAAAAAACAAAAAUCAAACCUUAAAACCUGCAUUGUUCGAUCUAGAGUCAACGAUCACCGACAUGGUGAAAGUGAAUUUUUGUAACUACAUGGAAUGCAUAUUUCGUAGUCUUUUCAAUUUAGAACUAUGGAUUAUUGCUUCAGACUAACAUUUCCCUCAAAUCCUCGAUUUAUUUGGCAGGUUAUGACAAGUGCAGCUUCAAGUCGACUUAGCUCAUUGCUUGCUAUAAUACAUAGCAUUUGGAGACUUACCAAAUAUUGAAAACUUCUUGUUCCAAUGUAAUUUUUUAUGCAACGAUAAAUUCCCUUACUUAAUUAGAUACAUUAUUUGGAGUUACCUUGAUCAUAGUAUAUUCCGCCCUUGCUUAAUUUUGUGUAGUUCUAUAUAUUUCUAAAAUGGUAGGUUUAAUAUAUAUAUUCAUGACCAUAAUUUGAUAUUUAGAGAUGUAUGUAGCUCUAUUACGUUUCUGGUUCUUUAGUUUAAAACUUAGAUAAGCACCCAUCUUUUGUGUAUUACUAUCAGCGUUAUAAUCCUUGAAAACUUAGAUAAGCACCCAUCUAAAUGCAUAUAAGGUUAAGACAAUACCGACAUCAAAAUGCAGGUUGAAUACAUUAUCCGACUAAAAUCCAUUUCGCUUUCUUCAUGCAUGUGCUCUACAGUUAUCUUCAAUGAAUAAAACAGUAGUUACCUUCAGCCAGCUUGUAAUAUGUUGUCGCACCUGCGAAGCUAAUUUGCAUUCAAAAAAUAAGUGAGAAACAUUUUCCUGCGAAGCUAAUGAAGUGUACGGAAAAAUAAAUAAAAAAUUUACAUUUUAUUAUAACAAAGCAAACAAUUUACUCUAUUGCUUUUUUCUUUAAAAAAAAAUAAAAAAUUUACUUUAUUGUUUCGUGGUGUUUUUUUUAUUCAUUUACUUACUGAUAAAAAACUCAUAUAGACAAAAGAACUGAGUUAAGUGAGAAAAAAAAUGAGAUUAUAGCUAGUAUUGAUAUUUUUACUAAUGUAUUUCGAAAAAUAUUUCAUUCUGUUGGUGUAUAAAAAUUUACAUUAGAAGCAGGGAGGGAACCAUAUUUAACGGUAUAAGAUAGGAAAGAAAAAACAAAUUACUUUACCCAAAAAAAAAAAAAAACAAAUUUUUAUUUGCAAAUAUAAUGCACACAUGAAAUUUAAGAAAUUAUAUGUUACUUCCCUCAUUUCCUUUUUUUAAGUGUUUUUUUAGAAAAUUAACACAAAAAUCACGAAGUGUAUUUUUUGCACAUUUUCUUCCUAGUAUACCCUCAUUUUAAUCCACUAAUAAAUUUCAAUUGUUUUGCAAACACUUUAUCUUUCCAAUAAAUUUAAUAUGUUAUAUUUCUCUCAUUGUGAGUUACUAUUAUCUUUUUCUCCAACAAAUUCCUAUUUUUUUACAUGCACUCUCUCAUAACAAACAAUUGUCAAUUUUCUAAAUAUUGUGUACAUCUUUUCAAUUAUUUUAAGUCAAUAUAAAAAUUAAAUUGAUGAAACUUCUUCUUCUUCAUUGUCAUCUUGUUCUUGUUCUUGUAUCUUGUCGAAUGAGUUUUCAACUAUUGCUCCCUCUUCACAUCUCAUCAUCAAUUUCAACGAGUCUUCCACUUUUUCAUCCUUUUGAGCAUACUACAUGGAGUCUUUUAUUUUUCUUCUCUCAAAUCUUUUAUUUUACUUUGCCCUUGAAAUUUUUAACAAUUGAUACUCAUCUUAGUUAUCGAAUUUUAACUCUUCUUGGAACCAUUGUUUGUAACAAAAUUUUGUUUAAAUUUGAAGAUAACAAGAAACAAACUUUGUUUAAAAAAAAACUGUGUUCCAAAUAGAUAGCAUUAAUUAGUUUUAUUGAAAAAGCUAAAAGUAAUUGGCAAAGGGUAUAAUUGACAAAUCGUAAUUUAAAAUACCAAAAAGACAGUAAAAUAGGAACGGAAAAUUCACCAUAAAAAGACACUUAAAAAUGAACGGAGGAAGUAUAUCCAAAGUUAAUAUGUAUCGAAAAUUGUGUUCAUGUGUAAUUUAUUUGUUGUUUUUUGUUGCCGUUGUUUCUUUAGUGGCACUUUGACUCUGUAAAUACUUGUCGGUGGUUCUCCUUUUGCAUACCUUAUACAGGUUGAACCACUCUGAUUUUAUUAAUAUCUCAUUUUGAUUUGUUAAAAAAAAAUGUAUCUAAAAUUAUAAGAAAUUUCAAAGAUGUUAGAAAAAUGAGUUCCUUGAGGCUUCUUUGAGUGUGACCAAAGAAGAUUUUUUUAAUAGUAGAGAUAGGAAAUAAGAAACAACAAGAAUGUAAAUGUAGGAGAAGAAAUUCAAGAUAAUAUCACAAACAUUAGUAGUGACUGAAAGGGCGCAAACAACACCGCGUGCAAUAUUUCUUACAGUUUGAGUGAAAUUGCAACAAAUAAUCACAAAUUAAUAUUCUAGUUAAGGUUCUUCUAAUUGCAUAAAAAAAAACUCACUUUAUUUCUCAAUUUCUCAAUGUUAUGCAUUCUAGUUAAGGAUUUGUGUUAUUAAAAUUUGAAAGUUAUACAAUGCUAAAUAUACUGAGUAAAAAAAAGUUCAUUAUACAAAAUCAUAUUAAGUUCACAGAAAAUAGUAUAGUGACAAAAAAAUAAAAAUAAUAAUAACAUACUAAUAUGAAGGGAACCAUGGCCUAUGUUAGUCUCCGUUCUAGUUUCAUCCCUGAUUGCAAAGUAUAUCAUAAUGCAAUCUUGUGUAGCUACGAUAAGAAUUAAAUAUUUUCAAUUAUCUACUAAUAGUAAUGAUUAAUUGACAAUGCAAGUACUCUUUACACCUGCAUUGCAUAUGAAUUAGAAGUCACUUUGUUGGCAUAUCACUCCUCAAUCUUGUGAUCCUCCGUUCAAAACUAGCGGUAUGGUAACAAAACCCAUAUAUGUGGGUAUCCGUUUGAACCAAACUUAAAUUGACGGGUUUUUUUUAUUUUAAUUGGGUUUGGGUUUGUCUCGAUUUCAAAAGAUAGAUACGGGACGGGUAACAGGAAUAUAGGUACUCAUCUCAAACCCAUCCUGAAUGUAGAAAAUUAAUUUAUUACCCAUUUUAUAUAAAUAAAAACUCAAACCCUAAAUCAUUUCACUCAUACAAUCAGAGUCUCGGUCUUUCAGAUGACACAAUUAUCAUAGUUCUUUCUUUUCUCCUUCAAUAUUCCACACUCUCAGCCUCUCUCUUCUUCAUCACCAUAGUCAUCGAUCGUCGUCAUCUUUUUACUGAAUAAUGCAUUAGUCAUUACAACUUUGCGCUCGGGGAUAAAAAAUACUUUUAUUUUUAAUAAAAAAAAAUUAUCCACUUCGGGGAUGGGAAUGAGGCGGGGAUGCCCAAACCCGUCGGGGACAUGGAUGAGAUUCGAUUUCUCAUCUCCGCUGAAUAUGGGUAUGGUAACGGGUAAGUAUUUGAAAAUAUGGUAUGAGGACGGGGAAGGUAAAACUCAUCCUCACCCUACCCCAUUGUGAUGCCUAUUCAUGAAGCACAUAUAUUUAGGUAAAUAUUAGAAUAGAAUAACAUUGGAAUGAAAUAAUGACAAAAUUAUCUCUUCACAUGUUUCAUAUUGAGACUCUUUUAUUUACAAUGAGUUCCUUAUUUCGUCGUUAUAGUUUAAGUGAUUUCACAUCACAUACUAUACCCUAACAACAAAGACAUAUUAUGCCACUUGGUUUCGGUACACAUUUCAUUGUCACGCAUCGUCGUCUUAUGGUUGUUGUGCCUUCAAUUUAGUUAAAACUAUGGGCUAUUGCUACAGACUGACAUUUUCCUCAAAAUCAAAACCACCGUUUAUUUGGCAGGUUAUGCAACUUCAUGUUGACUUCCUUCUAUUGAAAACCUCUCUUUCCAACGUAAUUUUUACGUAGCAAUACAUCCCCUUUGCUUAAUUAGUGACAAUAUUUGAAGUUACCCUACCUUGAUCAUCAUCAUCCCUUGCUUAAUUGGUGACGAUAUUGGAAGUAACCUUCAUCAUCUUCUUUGUGGUUUUUCUAGGAAUUCUUUAGGUGUCUUCGAGUUUGGAAGCAUACAAUCAUUUUUGUAAUAAUUAAAAAUUAAAAUUGUUACAAACUUCUAAAACACGGAAGGGUGAUUGAGUUGUCCUCGUGGAGUCAUGUGUCCAAUUGGUUAUAUAUACAAUCAUAUUAUAAUAGUCGUAUAUACGUAAACAUUUUUUAAAAAAAUAUGUACCACACUUUAAAAAUUCACAUAUGCAUUAAUUAAUUUACUUUUAACCUUAUCUUCUAAUAUAUUAUUAUAAAUUAAUUAAUAGUUAUUUUAAGAAAAACCAAUAAACAAUAUAACGCAAACUUGAAACAAAGAGUGAAUCAAGGAGAAUCUACAAAAUAAGUAGAGUAAUGUAUAAUUAAUACAGAAAAAAAAUUAACAAAUAAAAUUUAUCUCACCUUACCAAUGGAGAUUUUAUCUAUUGGAAAUGGUUGAUAUACUUACAAUUAGUUUUCGACACACAUCGAAUAUGAUUAUCUCCAAUUUAUGUGGCGGAAAAACUUAUCACACACGUUAGAAAAAGAAAAAAGUGUUUAUUUUUCUAGUUCCAUGAGUUUCUACAAGGUUUUUUUUACUUCACUAGCUAGUGAUGACUCGCAUGUGAGAUUUGCGAGUGCAACUUAACAUAUGUGAUUUUGAGACCACGAGAGAAGCAUAUAAUUUUUUUUUUUAAAGUACUAUAAAAUAAUAAUAAAAUUUGAACAUAUAUAUGAAAUGUGGUUGUAUCUUUCAGCAUGGAUUAGAACUUUGUUUGUCAUGUUUAUGAGAGUUUAAUCUCUUGCGCUAAAUUCAACCUUAUUGGUGAAUCUAGAUUUUUUUUUUUAUGUAUAUAUGUAUAUAUAUAUAUAUAUGAUGUUUCUAACCUAAUUAAGAGUUAUAUGUUGUAAUAAUAUUAUAUAAUUGUCUUUUUACUCCUUUUCGAUCUUGAGUUAUUUUGGGACGGGAAAAUAUCUUUAUUUUGGUUUUCAUAUAACUAUUCCCCCUUUUUUGUGAAUCCAAAGCAUUGCUUGAAAACUUUUAUUAUCAGCAUUGCUCGAAAGUUGAAACUAUUCCCGCUGGAUUCAAAGUUUUCAACUUCACUAAUUUCUUUGAAAAGAAAAUACUAUAAAACUUCACUGACAUGUUACGUUACAUUUGGAAGCCAGUCAUGUACCGUAAUAAUUGAAGAAAAAAUAUUAUCAGCCGACACUAAAUGCAUAAAAGGUUAAGACAUUACCGAUCCAUGUUUUGUCGUUGAACAAUUAGUCAAAUGUUAAUUGGUUUCAUUCAGAAUUAAGUGUAAAAAAUUUGAUGAUGAUAAUGAAAGAGACUUGAGUGUAUUACCCGACUAAAAUCCAUUUCGCUUUCUUCAUGUGCUCUAGAUCUACAAUUACCUGCUACACAUUCCAAUGGAUAAAUUCUGGUAAUUAUAAAUGUGAUUACUUAAAAUAUAUAUGGUGGCUUCUUAAACUAAAUUAUAUAAAUUGUUAUCGUUAAAAAGCGACUUUUAGAGUUUAUAGCAACAAUCGUAUCUAUUUGUUCACGGGUUUUUGGAUUAAGUUAGAUUUAGGCUAUUGGUCAUUUCAGUCCACUUAUAAAAAUGGAAGGAUGGAUAUUAUUUUAUUAAUUUACACCAUUCGGAGAAUUUCCUUAUUUUGUAUCAAGUCAAAUAAAAAUUAUAGCCUCAACUCUGGCAAAUUAUUUGCAACAUGUUACCCAAUAGUCUACAUUAUAUAUCUAUUAAAAAUCUUAAUAUCUUGUACAAACAUUGUGUAUAAAUCUUUAUUCGAUCAGUUAUAACAAAUUACAUAGACAUAUAGUGUGUUCGAUCGAGAAAAAUAAAUAAAAGAUUGGACAUGAUAACUACAUUUAUACUAUGUGAUUGUAAAACUACAUCAGGAACUAGAUAAACUUAGAGGGUAAAGGACACGAUAAAAAUUGAAAUUAUUAUCAUUUACUAAAUCAGAAUACAACUUUUUGCCUCAAAUACAAGUGAAUAAAAUACCCAAAUAGACUUUUAUCCACCAAGGAUCGUCGUCUAAGAUAAAAAAAAUUGUUCAAUAUAAUUAAAGUUAGUAAUGUGUCUUAUGUCUUAUUCCGUGUUCUUAUGUCCAAUACUUACAUUUUUAGAUAAUCAAACGUAUUCAUCCUGUUGAAGUACAUGGAGUCGAUACAAGUUAAGAACACAGUGGCUUGGGUUAGGUGAUAGAUGUACAAUCGUAUAGCUUAUAGGUCAAUUCUAACAUGUUUCUGAAAGUCAUUUUGUAUGGAGGUGUGUUAUUUGAACAAUCAUUUGAAUGAUAACUUUUGUGACAACCACUAAUUUACAAAGGAAAGUAGAUAGUGACACGGAAACCAAAGUAAUAGAGAGAUAAAGUAAAAAAAUAAUGUGAGUAUGAAAAAUAAAAUUGUCACAAAAUGGUUGUCAAAAUAUCAUUUCUCUUUUGUAUAACAUGCACAAAUAUUUAAAAGAUAAAUGAUAUUUGUAUAACCAUUUUUUUGACAACUUUUAGACAAUUUUCUCUCUCAUAUUCACGUUAUAUUCUUAACCUUUCUUUUCCUUUUUCUCUCUCCUUUGUUUUUAACCAAUAAAAAGAGAGGAAAAAAAAGUUGUCAAGAAAGUUGUUAGCAAAUAGUUGUUCAAAUAUCAUUGCUCGAGUUAAAAUCGUGCUCACUAAACACAAAUGAUUUUUGACGAAGUUUUGUGUAGGCACAAGCAUUUCGGCGCACAUACAUAAAUCAAAAAAAUUAAAAGAUAAAUAAAACAGUCACAUCAAUCAAUAUCAUUUUAAUCAUUUAGUUUUUAAUUUUUUUUUAACUUCAUGGAUGCGUACCUAAAUGUGAGGUGUUGGUCAUAUGACCAAAUAAGAGAUUUUCAUGAUUUUUUUACCAUAAGAUCAAAAAGUUAUAUCAUAUCUCAUUUUAUUACAUUUUUUCUUUAAUGGUGGGGUUUAUUGGUUUCUAAAAAUAUAUCAAUUACCACCCUUUGUUUUCAAAUUCUUUAACCCCGUCACUAAAAACAUAAAAGUAUUUGGAGUAGGUUUAUUUUGUGAAAACAUUUUAAGUUUUCUAGAAUUUAUAUUUUUAAGCAAAAGUGAAUUGCAAAAAUUUAAGCGAGAUUUUUUAUCACAAGUUUACAAUUAUGGUGAAAUCGAAGAACUUAACUACUUAGGUUGUAAACUAAGAACAUUUUAUUAACAAAGAACCAAAAACAGGCAUGAUGGAGUGCAUAGACCAAAAUCUAAAGAAAAAACAUCAAACAGAAAUAAAGGGAAACUAUGUCGAUUAUUAUAACAACAAUCCUCUAAAAUAAAUCUAGGUGGAAGAGUCCACCAAAUAUAACGUUUAGAUUAAAAACCAAAUCCCGCUAUAAAUAUGAGAGAUUACAAUUAAUUGCAUUUGAGAACACAAUGACAAAGCAUUGCGUUGUCUUUUUUUUUUUUUUUUUUUGUCAUUUAGCUUAAUGGCUAUAGAAAUUCACCUUAAAGAUGAAUAAUUGAAGUGUCAUGCAUCGUCUGUUUUUUAAUCUCCACGUGAUAGACCGAGAAUUCUAAAAAGACUUCACCGAUAAUGACGGUGGAGAUUAAAAAACGUUCAUAAUUGCGGCCAACAAAACAAUUUGUGACUAAUAAUUCUAACCUUUUUAAAGAAAAACACGAAGUAGACAAGAAAAAGGAUGUAUCAAUAUGACAAUCAAUGGAAGUCCAAAGUCAACUCUAAAUGUUAACAUCAAAUUGAUUAACGUUGUAACUUGUAACACCUCGUUUUUUCAACUUAAAAAUUUCACAUAUAAAUUAAAGUAUUUCAACAUAAACAGAAUGUCACACUUCUUUUCAUAAAAUCAUAAACAGAAUAAAAUAACUAUUUAUCCUUCAAAUUCAACAGCAUAUCAUUUAUUACAUCGCAACGGAAUGUAUUCAACAUUUAAACAUCUUUUGCACCAAGGCCUCAACAUAAAAUCUCUUAAAGUUAUUCCAACAACAUGUUCAUGAAAGUUCAUAAAAUAAUACGUAAGGAAUAGAAAGCAACAACAAAAUUCUCAUCCCGUUACGUAUCAGGGCACCUAAGACACACGUGAGAGAUAGUCCACUCACGACAACAACUAACAGCAACUAUUCUCGAUCACCUGCAGGUUACCCAUAUGAAGGGUAACAAUUCCAAGCAGAAGGGGUGAGAUUUCAUAUUCAAAUAAUAAUAAGCAUAUAAUUCAUUAAAUGCAUUUAACAACUUAAACUUCAUCAAUUAAUAACAUUAACUCUUCUUAUAAUACUUCGUUAAUAACUCAAUCAAUUUCUAAUCAUCAUUAACUUCAUAUUCAUCACAUUAUAUACAACAUCAUAUAGCACAUAAUAAUCAGAUCAUAAACAUCAUCAUAUAACGACAUAAUCAUCACAUCAUAAACAUCAUCUUAUAACAAGAUAAACGAUACAUCAUAAACAUCAUCUUAUAACAGCAUAAACAACACAUCAUAAACAUCAUCUCAUAACGACAUAAACAACAACGAUUAAUAAAUAUUAAUACUUCACUUAGUUCUUUAUUAACAACUCAUUGACAAAUGACAACUUAACGACAACGACAAUGCGACUUCUACAUCUUAAACUCAACAUAUGCAACUUCAACUUCUUAAUCAUGCAUGUGGUACCAACCAGAGCAUCAAGCCCUCAACAUAAAGAGCAUAAAUACACUCACAGGGCAUCAAGCCCUCAACAUAAGAGCAAAAGCUCACAGAGCAUCAAGCCCUCAACUUCAAAUGAUUAUGCAUGGACUCAAAAACGUACAACUUAGACAAAUUCACAACUUAUAUGAUCCAAUAUCUUGGAAUAACAACUUACAACUUUACAACUUAGACCAACACUUGCAACUUAAUGACAAUAAUGGUUCAACAACAACAGAAACAGCAACAUAAACAUCUUGCAACAUAGCAACAUCAAUAAUAACAAUUUGAAUGAUAUAAACAAUAAUAAUUUCUAUAUCAUACAUUUUCAACACCUUAUAUAAAUAUCUUAAAUUAACCAACAAUCAUUAAUCAUUUGAUUCAGGCUCUCUUUAACUCUAUAACUUAAUAACAACUUCCAUUCUUAUCCAAAGAUCAACUCAAAACAUAGGUUAAAUACUCUUAAACAUCUUAAUUGAACUCAUAGUACUUCUAGUUUUGAGGUUUUGAAUUAUCCCAUAAGUUUUGGAUUAACUUAGAAAUGGUUAUGCUGAAUUUUCAUAAGAUUUCACUAAGACCUCUCUGGAGUAUUUUUUAUCAUAUCUCAAAAACCAAAAAUCAUUUUCAAAUCAAACCAAAGCCAUUGAAAAGCUAAUAAAAUUAUCUAAAACUUUCAUGUUUACAACUAGACACAGUUCAAAGCGGAAAGGGGUGAAAAAUAGUAAAAUAAGAAGGAUCUGAUUCACAAAAAUCGUGCCACGUUUUUAUGCCCAGAACCAUUGAACUUUCGGCCAACAAAAUUGUGCCACGCUUGCAAAAUCGUGACACGUUUUGACAGCAUCAGGUCCAGAAAUCUGCUUUUCAAAAAGUGCAAUUUUCACCAUUUCGCGCGUAAAAUUCAAACCGUUAAUCGGAUUUUGAUGCCGUUUUCGCCUACACGCUCCUGAAACUUGGCUCUAUCAUAAUCUACAGCUAUUUCAAGUCUCAACCAUCCCAAGAAUCAUUUUCCAAAACCUCACAUAAUCCCUUAUUUGCAAAAACGUUUAGACACCGACUUUUCAAGCGAAAAUCUCAAUUUUCAUCAACUCAACCCCAAAACUGGUUCUAAUCAUUGUACUGUGAAUAAUCUAAGGUCUGAACAUCGUUUCUUCAUUAAUUCAACAGGUUUCUAUCAUCUAAUCAACCAAUUACAACUUUUAACCCUAAUUUCCCAAAUUCCCAAAACUACAACCUACAACAUGUUAAAUCCAAUUUUCAGAAUUAUACAACUUAUAAUUAAAGAAUGUUAUCAUUCUAGGUUCUUCUCUUCUAUUGUUUUCUCCCUUUUUCUCCAAAAACUUGUUUUACGCGAUCCUUAUUUUCUAAUUCUAACUCUCCCCUUUUAUAUAAAUCCUUAACCUACUUAUUUUCUCUUAUUUCCAAAUCUACCCCCAAAGUCUCAAUAUUCUAUUCUAAUAUAUAUGUAUAAUAAAAUACUUCUAUAACAAAUAACAAAUAUAUCUCUAUAACAAAUAUAUUUAUGUACCAGAUAACAUAUAUAUUUCUUCACCAAAUUAGAUAUAUAUUUCUACACCAAAUAACAUAUAUAUUAUACUAAUAAAUACCAACAUAUAACAUAACAAAAUAUCACUCAUCAAAAUAAAUCGACUAAAUUAUAAAAAGACAUCUAAAUUCAAUAAAAUAAAUAAAUAUUAAAAUAGGGCGUUACAAACGUGCUUUCUAUCAUCGAUGAACCAGAGCAAAAUUACCAUUAGAUUCAAUCAAUGGUCAUGAUUUAUACAAAAUAAAAAUAAGAACAUUUAAGAAUUGCCUCGCACAAUCUUGCCCCUAUUAAACUUUUUUAUUUUUGGUAUUCAUCAUCUUCAACCUCCAUUCCAAUUUUUUCGUAAUAAAAAAAAAAAAAAAAACUCCAUUUCAAUUUAGGAGCAAUGCUACAAAAGAGAAUUUGCACAAAAAAUUGAGUGUGUCUUCAAAAGUUUACGGGGUUUGCUAAAAAUCUAGUUUAUGGGUUCAAUUGGAGGUGGUGACUAAUGAAAUUGGAGGUUUAACUCAUCCUUAAAAACCAGUUCAUAAGGUGAGUCACGCCCAGCACUCUUUGGGCUUACGUGAAUCGGUAGGUAUUUGGGCUUACGUGAAUCGAUAGGUAACUCUUGAAUUCGACAGGUUCUGAUACCAUAAUGAAAUUGGAGGCCUAACUCAUCCUUAAAAACUAAUUCAUAAGGUGAGAAUUGUCUCCUCUAUAUUAACUCUUAUCAAGAGUCUUAUCUUUUCGAUGUGGAACAUGAGUUUUUUUCAAUAAUGACCUUUAAAGUUUAAACACGCGGCAUCUUUGAAUUCUACAUAGAAAAAAAAAAUAGAAUUAUAGCGUGUUAUGUUUGUUUCUCUAGAGCAUGAGACAUUUCAUUGUUCAGUUUAUGUUGUCAUGGAAAGGCAUAUGAGUGAUGGGUGUACAUCAUCGAUCGGUGGUUUGAUUCUCGUGAAUAGAACAAAAAAAAUCUGAGCUCAAUGGUACAAAUCCUUACGAUGAAAGGUGAGAUAUAGUAGGAUUGUGUGUGGAUAGUUGUAAAUGUUAUCUUUUUUAAUUCUAGUAGAUCAAAAUUGUUAAUCUCAUUUCAUGGUAAAAAUUAAAUAGUCCAUUUGUGAGGGACUCAAUAGCUCCUUCACCUUAGACGUCACCCUUAAUUAAUAAGAAACUAACGGCGAGGGACUCAACUCCCUCACCUUAGACGUCACCAUUGAUUAAUAAGAAACUAACGAUUGAAGUAAAUAAACGAGAAAGAAACUCAAACUUCUUUCUAAACUUUCUUUCUCUUUCGUUCAUCAAGGAGGGGUGGUUUUUGACCUAGAAUCACCCCUCUACAUCUUUUUUCCCAUUUUCUUUCAAUCUAAAUAAGUGGUUUUCACAUACAAGUGUUUCCUUUUGUGUUUUUUGUGAUUUUGUCGUCUAAGUACAACGCUGUGUUGGUCGUCGUCUUGUGCGGCGUUUGAUUUCACGUCUUGUCGCGGCGUUCGUUUAGUUUCUAUUGAAAGAUUGACAUCGGUCAAUUAUAAAUCCAAUCAAUGAUUUGGGUGUGAAUGUUGCCGAUCUAGAAACAUGAGUAUUUCGGUGACUUAGAUUUAAUCAUAUUAGUUGUAGCAUUUUGUCAUUUUAUGUUAUUAACUUGGGUGCUGUGAGUUUGUUCGCAGUUUUACCCUUUACGUUUCUAGCGAUUUUUGUAUCUGAUGUACUCUAUCAAUCUGAAUGAAUGAAUAUCGUUUUGUUUUUAUUAAAAAAAAAAAAUAAAAAAAAAACUAACGGUUAAAAGUUUGCUCUACAUGCCUACAAUGAUAAUAAAUAGAGAUAAUUUACUACAACUUUUAAAACAAUGAUGCUCAUUUAUAGGAACUUUACCAUAAAUAAGUCUCCAAAGAAAAAAUGAUUUGGAUUGAGGAAUUGAAGGUUUCCAAAUAAGCUAUGUCCAUGAUUGAUCAUAUGCAGAAACUUGACAAAAACUAUCAGCAUCCUAAACUGAAAGAGAACCUGAUGAAGAACCCUUCUAAGCAAGAUAUUCAGUGGAAAACUAUACCCCGAUAUUUAUCAAAUUUCAUAUUUCACCAAUUCAACUCUCUCUAUCAAUAGUAUAUAUAUAAAGUAAGAUUUUUUAUGACACGUGUCACUUCCACGUUUAUUCGCAAUAUUUUUAUUUUUUUUCUAAUUUUUCAAAACCAAUAUUUAAUUUGGCAUAAAUAUCUCAACAAACUUUUGAUCUUAUCUAUUAAAUAUUUUACUUAACUAUUUAUUGAAUUCCUAAUAUUUUAUGUAAUAGAAAUAUCUCAACAAAAUUACAUACGAUACCCUUCAAUUAAAAAUCAUCAAUCAAUCAAUAGUAUAUAUAGUAAGGUUUCUUAUGCCACGUGUCACUUUCAUGUUUAUUCGCAAUAUUUUUAUUAUUUUUAUAUUUUUUAAAAUCAAUAUUUAAUUUUGUAAAAAAAAAAUCAAUAUUUAAUUUGGCAUAAAUAUUUCAACAAAAUUUUAACCUUAGGGAUGGCAAUGGGUACCCUAUCCCAAUGGAUAGGGUACUAUAGUACCCUAUCCAUUGGGUACUCAUUGCCAUAAAUGUAUUGGUCUAUUCUCCACUAUCAUAAAUAUAAAGUGAAAUAUAUUGAAUUGGAAAUGAUGAAAGUAGUAUUAAUUAGAGUUAUAAUUGAAAAAAAAAGUAAUUAAUAAUUGUAUUGAAAAGUUAAAUGCAUCAAGAUUUUUGAGACAAUAUUUUUUACAAAUAACUUAGUUAUUAUGGGACGGAGGGAGUAACACUUUAACAUGACAAUGAAAAGUAAAUUUAAGAAUUAAAAUGCAAGAAAUGAAGAGAAUGUUUCUCUAACACAAAACUAUUUUUUUUUUCUCUUUCACUUAUACACUUUUUUAAUGUGUAAAAUAAAAAAUAAAAAAAACUUAUGUAUAAUGAGACGGAGGGAGUAGUUAGUAAGAACAAAGUCGUCAAGGAACCAAUUAACUCUUGAUUUCACUUCCCAAAAACGUCUUGAUAGUGCUAUACUCCCUCCGUCCCAAAUUAUAAGCAAAAAAACAAAAAUCACACUUAUUAAGAAAACUAAAACAUAAAAAUUUGGAGUAUAGUUUUUUGUGUUUUCGUUGGAAAAAGUUUUAUAGGAAGAUGUAAAAACAAUUUUCAUUGGCUAUUGAUUAUGGAAAAAAUGAAAGAAAGAGAAAAUUGAAUGUAAUUUGCAUUUAAUUUUAUGAGAAUAACAAAAAAAAAUCUUGGAAAAGAUUAAAAUUUGUCUUUUUUCCUUAUAUUUUGGGACAAAGAAAAUGAAUUUCUUUUGCUUAUAUUAUGGAACGGAGGGAGUACUUGGUUAAGCUGGAUUGAGCAUUCAAUUCUAAUUUAAGGGCCUUUAAUUUACCUUAAAGAAUAAACAUAGGACAACCAACCACAUAAUUAUUUAUACCAAACAUUUUCCACCACGUGGGUGAUAUCUGGAAGAUGAGAGUCCAUUUAAGUGAGUCAAUGUGACGAAAAAAAAGAUAAAAUGGCAAUUUUAGGAUCGUAAAUUUCUGAAAAUAAUGGAAGUAGUAAUUCUUUUAACGUUUUCAUUGUUUUAAAAAAAUUAUCCAAUCAUAUUUUAUAUGCAAUUUUUGUUUUUUAGAUUAAUUAAACAAUAAAUUUUGUUAACCAGUGUCCUAAGGGUGAUGAUUAAGGAAUUCAAAUGUAAAAGUUUUGUCUUGUAAUUGUAGGAUGUUACAUUUGAUCAAGUAAUGAUUAUACUACUUUUUAUUAAAAACUUACUUGAUUUAGUUGUUUAACCAGUGUGAACACUAGUUAACAUUCUCCUUAAAUAAUUGAUGUUUCUGAAAUAUAAUAUAUAUAUAUAUAUAUAUAUAGCUCAGAUACAUCACUUAUUUAAUGAAGAGUUUUUUUUUUUUCCUUCUCUUAAUUAACGAAUAAAACUAACACUUAUAUAUCUACCAAAAAAAAAAAAAAACUAACACUUAUAUAAUAUAGUUCGGAUACAAUAUAUUUAUAUAAUAUAAUCCGGAUACAUCACUUAUAUAAUCAACAUUGCUAUUUACCGCGACAAGUUUUGUCCCGAAUGCAUCAAGAAUGAAAAUAAGCCAAUUAAAAACAGCUGUUAGUGGAAAUCAUGGGAGGUGGGGGAGAAAAAGAUGGAAAUCAUAAACUAAUGGAUGGAUGGCAUACAUGCCACAUGUGUCUGGAAAAUCUCGGGACAGUUUUAUUUCGUGUGAAAUAGCAUUUUUCCUUAUAUAAUAUAGUCCAGGUACAAGGCAACUAUCACCGGAUGAGGUUUUAUCUUUUUAUUAAUGAAUAAAACUUUUUUUAAGAAGCUAAAUGCAAAAUAUAUUAAAAACCAAAUUAGUUAAGCACAAGAUGUGCCAAACGAAAAACUGUGUAUAACGUCAAAGUAACAAACUCGAUAAAGAAAGAAACCACAAAUAAUAAAAAUCAAAAGCGAAAUUCAGUUUAUGUGUCUUUAGCCACCACAAAAAAUGAAAUUUAAUAUUGUCGAGAAGUUGAUCCUUAGAAGACACGUUGUUAUUGAAAUUUCUCGAGUUUCUCUCCUUCCAAAUUCUCUCCUUCGAAAUAACUCAAAGACAUGUCAGCACACCACUUUAAAACAAGAGCUAAUGUCCUUCCUGAAAGCAUGCGCGCCAAAAAAUUGUUGUGCGUGACAACCAAUAUUUGAUGGAACGACGGUAGUUUUACCCUACCAGAUCAACAAACACCCUACCAGAUCAACAAACAGGGAAAAUAAAUAAAAAAUAUUUUUGCAAAGUAAUUAAACGGAUUCUAAUGUUUAAUAGGAACCGAUCGAGGACAACAUAGAAAUCAUGCUGGAAUUUGAAGAAGAAAUACAAACCUAAUUAAAGAGAGGGGCUAAGUAUUUCCAAGCUGGAACUUGAAAAAGAAAAACCAUGCUCUAAUUAAGUAACUAAGUAAGGUAGUACAUUACAACAAUUGAGAUAAGUACGACACAUUAUGAUGAUUAUGACUUAUGAGCUGUUAAAUGAUGUUGUAGGAUUACUUUUUUCUUGUCAAAAAUAAAUAAAUGAUGUUGUAGGAGAAACAUUAUUAUAAACAUUAUUAUAACUUACAAGGACUAAUGUUUAAAAAAAAAAACUUACAAGGACUAAUAAUGAGACAGAACGAAAGUGUACGUGAGUGUAGGAGACACGUUAUUAUAACAUUUUAUAAAUAUUUAAACGUUGAUAAUAAUUUUGUCGAUCUAUAAACCACUACCAAUUCCUAGUUAAAUAUAUAAUAAUUUUUAUUAUAUUUGUUAGUUGAUGGUAAAAGAUGAAUAUAAUUUGUUACUAUAUUUUUUUUUGACAAAAUAAUUUGUUGCUAUUUAAAAUUCAUAAAUAUAGUCUAUACAUAUAAUUUUAAUAAAAAUAAAAAUUCACCCAAAAAAAAAUCAAAAAUUUCAUAAAAAAAUAAAUAUUGUUUAUAAUUCACGAGCGUUGUCGCAGUACAAAAAUGGAUAGAUGGAUACCCAGUACUAGUAAUUAAUGAAGUUAAUUGGUAAAAUUUCACUCUUACUGGUGGUUGAUGGUAGGGGUGUUUACGGUGCGGUUUGGUUCGGUUUUGAGAGAAAAAGUCAUCCAAACCGCAAGAUAAAAAAACAUGCGGUUUGUGUAACACCCACAGCUGACGAGGGCAGGGGAGUGGUCACCGGUGCACAAGGCACGCCAAUGAGCGGCUCCCGACAGCUUCUAGAGGAACCGAAUCACAUCUGAAUGAGAGGGAUCCUGAGGCCGUGUAGGUGUGGGACUACAUGAAUGAAGGAAUGCUUAUAAGAAUUGUUUGGUAAUACCUAUAUCAACAAGGUGCAUCUUCUUUUUGGUACCCUAUUCCAUAAGAACUCCACAGUUAAGCGUGCUUGACUUGGAGUAGUCUUUGGAUGGGUGACCUACCGGGAUUCCCGAUAAGCAUGCGAGUGAGGACAAAACACGCUGAAAAGACUCGUGUUGGUUUGUAGGGUCAGUCGACAAUGCUUAAAGUCGUCUGGGAUGUUACAGUUUGGUUUGGUUCGGUUGGCUUUAAAAUAAAAUCCGAACCAAACCAAACCAAUAUGGUUUGGGUUGUAUCGGUUGGUGCGGUUUUUUUCGUGACGAUACGAUUUUUUGUUUCCAACAUUAAAAUCAAGAUAAAAAGCUGAAACACAAUAUAUUUUCAACAAUGUUUUAAAUUUCAUCAAACAUUACAAUUUCAUUUUCAUUACAAUGUUUCCAACAACAUAAACCAAAUUAAAAACGCGGACAAAAAGUAAUCUUAUUUUGUAAGAAAUGCAAAAGACUGAGAUGUUCUCAUUCUCUAAAAGUUAAGUAGCACAUAAAUACAUUUUUAAAUAAAAAGCAAAUAAUGAACUUAACAAGAGAAAAAAAAUAUGACAUUUUAUAAAAGUUUUCAUUGAGUUUCUAUGAGUAUUGGUCUUGAUGACAUAUGUUUAAUUAACAUUUUUCUUAUGUUAUGGUUUGGUUUGGUUUUGUAUCUAUUUGACAGUCUCUUUGUACUUUGAGCGACCUCUUUAGUACGCCUUAUGCUAAAGAGGUGUCUCUCUUAUUGUGAAUAUAUAUCAUUUUACCUUCUUAAAAAAAAGUUAAUUGGUAAAAAAAAAAAAAAUUUCUCUCUUGAUUUAUAUGAAAUGACAUUUUUUUUUGGAACAUGGAGGGUAUUGAUUUUUACACCUUUUCAAAAGCCACUCAAGGAUGAAUAUAGAUUUUUCAUGCAUCAAACACAAGAAUCAUUAGCAUAACAUGCUUUGGAAAACACACACAUAUACUUAAAUUAAUGGUUGGAGUAUCAAAUUUAAAAAUAUUGUUGUCAAUACAUACCCCGUCAAUCCUCCUUUUUUACCCAAUAAACAUUGAAAUGUUGCUUCUUUCGUUAAGCAUAAAAACAUCAAAGUCUAGCAAAAUGUUGUUUUUGCGAUGACACAUUUCAUAUAGUUUAAAGGAUGCAUGAUUCGAUUACAAAAACAAAAUACUAAUAAUUCUAGCACAAAGUUUAAAGCUAAGAUUAUAAAGCUUCAUAGCAUGUGGAUAUUCAUUUAGAAAUAUAGGAUUAGGAUUGCCCCUUUCAUCACGGGUCUAAUAGCACCACUUGUCACUACAUGUUAAAAAUGUCCUCUAGUACAACACCGCUUUUUACUUGAUUCCCCUUGUCCAUGAAAAAAUCAAACAAUAUUUGGACACAAAAAUUUGCCCCCACUUUCCUUUUUCUUCUGCCCUAGUUUGUUUGAAAACUCAUAUUGAUCAAAUUUGGCUAUGAAUUCAAACAAAAAAUUCACUCUGCCCAUUGCAUGUGUGGGACCCACAUAUAAAUCCAUGAAGGAUUUCAAUGUCCAUCCAAGUCAAUGAUUCAACAUAUAACAUUGAAUAAUUUAAUUCCAAUUUGCAGUAUUAUGAUUUAGAUUGAUUGCUGCAAUACGGUCCGUGAAUGUAACUCACGAGAAAGAGGUAUCAAGGUAUUUUAUUUUAUUUUUAACAAAUAAAAUUUCAAGGUCUUGUUCACCAUAUAAACCUCCUCACUCUCACUCAAUUCUCUUAAGUGUAUGACUUCAUAGUAAACUACACUACUUUCUUUAAAACAUGGCUAACUAUGCUAUAGCCAAUGUUUUGAUCCUUCUCUUGAACUUGAGUACCUUACUCAAUGUUCUUGCUUGCCCUUAUUGUCCUUACCCAAGCCCUAAACCACCUUCACACCACCCUCCUAUUGUUAAGCCACCAGUUCACAAACCACCAAAGCAUUCUCCUACUCCUAAACCACCAGUUCAUAAACCACCAAGAUAUCCUCCUAAACCAUCACCUUGUCCACCCCCAUCAUCAACACCAAAACCACCUCAUCAUCCCAAACCCCCAGCAGUACACCCACCACAUGUUCCAAAACCACAUCCACCUUAUGUUCCAAAACCACCAAUUGUUAAACCUCCAAUAGUACAUCCACCUUACGUACCAAAACCCCCAGUUGUGAAACCACCACCAUAUGUCCCUAAACCACCUGUUGUGAGACCACCCUAUGUUCCUAAACCACCAGUUGUACCUGUAACACCACCUUAUGUUCCUAAGCCACCAAUUGUUUUCCCACCACAUGUUCCUCUACCUCCAGUUGUACCAUCACCACCACCUUAUGUACCAACACCUCCAAUUGUGAAACCACCAAUUGUUUUUCCACCACAUGUUCCUCUACCUCCAGUUGUGCCUGUAACACCACCUUAUGUGCAACCACCACCUAUUGUAACUCCACCAACACCAACACCUCCAAUUGUGACACCACCAACACCACCUAGUGAAACACCUUGUCCUCCACCACCACUUGUACCUUAUCCACCACCACCAGCACAACAAACAUGUUCCAUUGAUGCUUUGAAGUUGGGUGCAUGUGUUGAUGUGCUUGGUGGACUCAUACAUAUUGGUAUAGGUGGAAGUGCUAAACAAACAUGUUGUCCAUUGCUUCAAGGACUUGUUGAUUUGGAUGCUGCUAUAUGUCUUUGCACCACUAUUAGACUUAAACUUCUUAAUAUCAAUCUUGUUAUCCCCCUUGCUCUUCAGGUUCUCAUUGAUUGUGGCAAAACUCCACCAGAAGGGUUUAAGUGCCCAGCUUCUUAAUCAUAUAUGCACAAAGCUAGUACAUUUAUAUUUUGAAGGUAACUAUUUAAUUCAACUUUAUAUACUUUUCUUUUAGUAAAAUUUGUGUACAUGCAAUUUUAUUAUUUAGAUUAGAUUCAAAUAUAUUUUUAGUAUUUACAAGUAUACUGUUUUUUUGCCAUUUAUUGGUCUUCGUAAUUUUUCUUUUGUUUUUAGUCUUUGCAAUAUGAAUAAGGACUAAAAUAAAUAUUGUAUAGAUCAAUUCCAACAUAACAACUUUGCAGGGAAUGUAAUAAAACACCAAUGAUCAAAAGUAAAAAGUAGUAUAUUUAUAGGGAAUAAAAACAAAAAUUUCAUAUAUUUGGAUGGACUAACUAAAAACGAAAAAUUGGUAUAUUUAUGUCAUUAGUUGUGUUCGGAACUUUUCUAUUGCUAAAAUCAUAUUAAUAAAAUUUGUUUACAUUCAAUUUCAUUGAUUAAGAUUUUAUACUAUGUGAUUGUGACCUAGAUGUGUUAAUGUUUACAGGAAUUCCAUGAAUAUUAGUUAGCUCGGAAUAAGCGUUUACAAGUUGAAAGAGAUGUAGUGAAAAAAUUGUCAUUGUUUCUCGUUCAAGUUGGUGUAGGGAUACCAGAAAUGAAGGACAAGAACGUAGUAGAAUUGUACUUUGAUGGAAAUUAUGUAACUGGAAGAAGACCAAAAAAAUAUUCUGCACUUCACGUAGUAGUCGUCGUCAUGCAUUAAUAUGACAUAAACUUUCAAUUUAAUUAUUUUCUGUUUCUAUCUUUUUGUCACUUUCUUUCAUUGCGUAUGAUGCUGUGUGUGUAUGUCAGCGUUUGUAAGUUCAACCCGUGAGUGCUUUGGGGAAAUGUAUAAUAAGUUCUUUUUAUAUUUUCUUCAAAAUGCUUGAUUCUCAUCUAACACAUUUCUUCGUAUUAUCCGGAAUAUUGUCCUUUAAAAGAAAAUUACAAACAAAAAUCUUGAAAGAAAGAAUAAACAGUGUGAUAAUAUUUCUCCUUAUGAUGAUUAGUAAAUGCUUGUUUAGCAUAACGGUCUCAGUCAAAUUGGAGGACCCGCUCGAAUAUUAAAAAUAAAACCCUAAUAAAAAAAUUAGUGCUAAUUUAAACAAUUAAAAAUUAACAACAAACUUUUUUUUUAUUUGAAUUUGUUCUACUGAUUUUUUUGUUGGUGGGAUGUGUGAGUCGGGUCUAACUUAUAUAAUAUUUUCUCUUUUAUUUUUAUCAAAUAAUAAGAGUUUGGUUUAACCUAUCUUCUAUUAUAAUAAAAUAAAAUUUUACUAUAUAUCUUCCACAUAACUUUUUGCUCAUGUUGUUUAGUAUUGUGAAUUAGAGACAAAACUUCUCUUUAAUGAUUUUGUUUGGAGAGCAUAUCUGCUAGUUUUCGCCGAUUUUCCCUAAUUUGCGCCAAACGUACGUGCAUGUUUUUUAAUAUUCUUGCUAAUUACACAUAUCGCCAAAACUAUUUCCUUAAAAUUAGGAUAAAGUUUUUUUUGAAGAACAGUAGCACUGUCAAAAAAAAAAUGUCUAAAACAGUACAUUAUAGAGUACUAUACCUAAAUUUCCCCCCUCAUAAAAAAUUGGUCUAUAUUAGUGUGCAAAGUGUACACUAUGCAUUUCAAUUUUGAAUUUUCAAAAAAUGGACUAUAUGAAUUUCACAAAACUUCCGUUUUAAUUAAUAAAUAUUGCUCUUAGGAUAUUCAUUAGUAUUUUUCUAUAUUAAAUUCAUAUAUAAUAUGUCAUGUAAAUAUGUCCCCCUAAACACAAUUGACGCGGAAUUGAACCCACAAUUUCACACUUUAAGUUAGAGGUACUUACAUCCAAAAAAAUCCAAAAUAAAACCGUAAAUCAAUUCAAAAAAACAAAAAAUUGUGCCAAACCAAAUUUUAUUGGAUGUCUUAAUUAGGAUGUACUUUUAUAACAACCGUUUUGAUCGGAUUGAAUUUUGAACUCAUUUUUCAAAACAGACCACAUACAUAAAUAUUAAUACUUAUUUAUUUUUAAUUGGUAUAAUAUAUUGCAUUAAUCCAUUAUUUGUAAAUUUCUUAUUUUCUUUUAAUAAUACUUAUGAGUUAAAUUUAAUUUGUUUGUUUUUAUUAUUUCAUGGGGUUAAUAGUGUUUUACCCCAUGUAAUAUAAGUCAUUUCCAGUUUACCUCCUGUGAUUUUUUCUUAGAUUCCAUCCUUGUAAUUUGAAGAUUUUUUAUUUUAGACCUUCAUGAAUUUUGACUAUAAAAUCGAUGACAUGGUAGAAGGUAAAUCGAAAUUUGCUCAAAUUACAAGGGGCGAAAGUACCUUAAAUUUUGUAAUUGAUGUCAAAGAAUGUCCAAAAUCAAAGAAUCUUCAAAUUAUAAGGACAUAAUCUAAAAAUAUAUAUAUAGGGGUAAUCCAGAAAUGACUUAUAUUAUAGGGGUGAAACAUUAUUAACCCUAUUUCAUAUCUUUCAAACAUAAUCGAUUAUUAUCAUCCAUGAUUGUUAAAUUUUAAUAUAUUAUAGGCUAUAUUUUGCAUCAAACUUAUUAUUUUACCGUAUCUUUAUAGCAUCAAUAGAUUUUUUUCACAAAACUGUUAUUUAAAAAACCUUCCGCUUUGUUUUUUUUUAGUCUUUUUCGCGAGUGUUUUGUACGUUUUCCAUAUACUCAACGAAAAUAAUAAUUGUCAUUUAAAAAAAAAAAAAAAAACCAAAUACCAUAAAAUUGAAACGGAUCUCAUCAUCUUUUUUAGAAAUCAUCUAAAUCGAACUAUGAGUAUUUUAAUUUUUUGAUUAAAAGAUAUUUUGUUGGAUCAUACUAACUAUAUUGGUUUUAUUAACUAGUGUUCUAAGACACUAAUUAACAUUUCUCUUUUUACUUCAUAAAUGAUUCAAACUUUAACGUGAACGCAUCUACUUCAAAUCACUUUGUGUGUACGACUAACAAAUGAAGUUCAUAUAUAAUAUGAUUUCUCAGAGCAUAAAUCUCUAUUUUGCAUUCAUGUGUAUAUAAAUUAAUUCUUAAUGUCUAACUAUUAUUUUUUAUUAAAGUCGAACUACUUUUUUUUUUUCUAAACAAUGUCUCUAACUAUCUUAAAAAUUAAUAAUUUCUCUUUCAGUAUUUGACCCUUUCCUUGAUCAAAAAGAAUUUGACCCUUUCCUUGAUAAAAAUAAAAUAAAAUAAAUUGACCCUUUCACAUACUAUUGUUUAUAAUGCGUAUGGAAUAAUUGACACGACACAUUAACUAAGCGUACUUACUCCACUAGUGCAAUAUUAAAAUUACAGUCUGAAAAAGAAAAAAAAUCAUGUACCAAUUUCGACCAAUAAAUUUAAUGAUGAAAUUAAUCCCUACAUAUGAAAAAAAAUAAAAUUUGAAGAAGCUAAACUAACCCCCUCAAAUCGGUGCAAGAGAGAAUCGAACCUGAGACUUUAAGGAGGAACACACUCCCAGAUCCCAAAUCAAUAUCACUAAAUCAACCCAAGUGGGUUCAUAUGAAAAAAUAUUUGUUGAAAGAGAAAGGUCAUUUAAUUGAAUCUUCGUACUUUAAAAAUUCCUAAUAUCUAGCUUUUGACUAUAAGAUACUUUUGGCAACCAAAUAAUUUGAUCCCAUAGAUUUCAUGCUGCCUUUGUUUUUAACAUUAAUUUUCGAAAAUCAGAUGUUUCUCUCUCCCCCUCUCUCUUUUGUGAGCCGUCGGCCGAAACUCUAAUUUCUUCUCUUUCAUCCACCAAAGAGGGAUGAUUUAGGGUCAAUUUUUGACCCUGAAUCACCCCUCUAAAUCGUUUUUCUCCUUCCCUUCUAUUUAAGUAAGUGAUUUUCACAUCGAAUUAGGUUUUCCUUUUGUGAUUUCGUCGUCUUAGUGCGACGUUGUUUGUCUUUUCCAUGGUUCAGGUGUUUGCUCGAUUCAGAUUGUCAGAUCAGUUUCGAUCCAGUGCAGAUCCAACCAAUAACUUUGGCGUCAUCAACGUUGCAGAUCCGGAGGCAUAGCUAUUCCGAAGAUUUUAAUAUAGUCAUAUUUGUAGGCUUAUGUACUUUGCCGUUUUAUGCUAUAUAUUAACAUGGAUGUUGUGAGUUUUUUCACAAAUUCAUCCUUUUUGUUUUUAGUGAAUUUGUAUUGCAUCGAUGUACUCUGUCAAUUUGAAUGAAUGAAUGUGUCCUUUGUUUUGUGUAAAAAAACAUUAAUUUUCGAGAAGAGUUGCGCAAGUUACGAAAUUGAGUGUCACGUCAAUAAAUGAUGUUCGGUUGAUGUAAAUUUUGGAGAAAAUCGGGGAGGAAGGCCACCAAAUUAAAGAAGAGAUGAAAACAUAAGAGUGUGUUUGUUUCAAGGAAAGAAAUUACAUUCCUUGGAAUGACAUUCAUGGGAACAAAUUUUCAAAAUUUGAAACAAGCACGGGAAUGUUGCAUUUCCAAUCUCACAUUCCCGGGAAUCAUAUUACAACCCUUGAAACAAACACACUAUAAGAUGCCGAAAUCGCUCAAGGAAGAAUGGAAGGUCAUGAAAUCGCACAAUCGUGAUACUUAAAGGUCAAAUAUGCAGUUAAACCUAUAAUUUUUCUCUCUAAAUUUAUUUAAUUGAUUAUAUUUUUAAGAAAAUAAUACUACAAAAUAAGUGUCAAGUGUUGCCUAAUUAAUGAAGAAUUUUGUAUCAAAAUAAAAAAUACUCGAUAAAGGAUUUGAUCUUUUGAACUAUACGUUGAUAAAAUAGUUGAUAGUUGGAUUUGGAAACAUGCUUCAGAAACUCAAACUACUUAGUUAAAUGAUUUGAUCAUAUUUUGACUCAAGAAGAGCCGGUCCAUGCACCUUUUACGUAGAUUAUUUAAAACAAUGCAAUGCCUCUUAAAGUGUCGUUUUUUGCGUGGAGAGUCUUCAAUAAGAAAAUUUCGAUAAAAGGCAAUUUGGGUCUUUGGUUAUGUAUAUGUUGUCCCAAUGCUUGACAAAACAUAUCCAAACAAUGUAAAACACUGUGAGCUUGCUCAAUAGAAACCUUCGCAAAAAGAAGAUUAUCAUCAACAAAAAGCAAAUGAGAGGUUUAAGGGAUAUGCAUUUUUUCUCUCUGUCACCAUGUCACCAUGUAAAACACUGUCACCAUGUCUAAUACCACUUAUGAGAACGAAAGUGUCAAUGUUCUCUCUGUUCGACAAUAUUUUGUAUGAGAGAGAAGAAAUACAAUGAUGAAUUACCUAAAUGAGCUUAGAAUGAAAUUGCACCCCUUUAAGCAUUUUUUCACAAAAUUCUAGUUUAGACGAUCAUAGGCUUUUUUCAGUUCAAUUUUAAUAGACAUAUACAGUGUGUUUGGUAGAGGUGAAAUUGCAGAGAGAGAGAGAGAUGCAAGCGAGAGAAAUAGGAUUGAGAUGCAGAAUCUUUUAGUGUACCAUCUCCCAACUACAAUGAUGUUAUGAUGGGUACUUCUUUCAAAAAUAAAAAUAAACUGAUAUGGAUAAACUAUCCCAUCAAAUAAAAGUUUAAUUCUAUUAACAUAAACUUUAGAAAUAACAUUAUACAAAACUUUGAGUCUAAAUUGAGAAAAAAUUAUUCAGGUUUAUCAAUUUUAUGUUUAUGUAUUAUACCAUACGCUAGUAAUACUAUCUUUUAUUAUGUUCACGCAUGUGUCUCAAGCAUAUGGGUAUAAUGUGUAAGCUAUGGGAAAAUGACUCAAGCAUGUGUCUCAAGCAUGGAAUAUAGUGUCAGUAGCAAAUAAAAAGGUUAUAAAGAACAAGAAACGAUCUAGACAUCAUACUAUCUUUUAUGUUCGUGUGGUUGGCUCUGAUUAAUCUAACAAGUAUGGGAUGCUUGACCUUGAUGCAAUAAUGUUUCUUUAAACACCGACGUAGUAGUAAUAAUAAUAAUAAUUUAAAAUAAUGUUUAUUUAUAAAAAAAGUAAUAAUAGUAUGUUUUUUUAUAACAAUGAGGGCCUAAGAUAAAAGAAGAAAGAGAUAACAACGAGAUUAUAGGUGGAGUAAAAUUCCCUAUCAAAUCAAAAAGCAACAAAGACUAAUAUUGUUAGGACGAACAUCAAAGGAACAGGUCCCUAAAUCCAUCGAACAAGCUAAAUUGUUUGCGCAUUGAUUUGCUUCAUGAUAAGAGUGAUAACAACAACUUCUCAAUCAAGUGAAAGGAAGCGAUGAAUCUUCUCAACUAGCUACCUCCUUCUCUAGCUAUCAUGCACAUGUGAAGUGAUAGCUUUUACAAUAACUAAGGAGUCAACAUGCAACUCAAUAAAUCAAAAUUGCAACCUUCUAACAUUACAUGACCCCUUCCAAUAAUGAUGUGUUGUUGCCUAUAAACAAUUUUCUACUUUGUAGAGCUUUAGUACGAUGUAAAAUGAGUCGAUGUUGUGAAAAAUAAGUAAGAAUUGACAUACAUAGUGAAAAUAAGCAAGAUUAUACAUUGUUUUGAUUUUUUUUUUUUAAGUUUUAAAUAAGCUUUACUACGUUAGUAUAUAAGACCAUCUUUAAAUGAGGAGUCUUGUUUUUAUUUUUUAUUUUUUUCCUUUUUAAAUUAAUGAGGAAUCUUAGAGUGUGUUUGGAUGGGGGAAUGUUUUAAGGGAAUGUAAUGUUUUGAAGGAAUUCAAAUACCUUGAGGUGAAUUUCAUUGUUUGGGUAAUAGUUUGAAGAAUUUUCAAAAUGAUGGAAAUUUAUGAAGUAUUUUGUUCAAGUUAAAUGUAGAGAAUUUCAAAUGACACCUAAAAGUUAAGAAUUUCAAAAAUCUUCAUUGUCAUAUUUUUUCAAAUUUUACAUUUUGGUCCUCAAACUUUCCAAAAUUUUCAAUUUGACCCCAAUAAAUUUAUAAAAAUUGCAAAUUGACCCCUCAAAUUUUCCAAAAAUUAUAAUUUGGCCCCUCAAAAAAUUUGAAAUUUACUAAUUGACCUCUAAUUUCAUUUUUCAAAUUUGGCCCAAAAAAAUUGAAAUUUAUAAAAGUUGCCCAAAAAUGAUGACAAUAAAUUUUUUUUAUUACUCCAUCCAAACAAUAAUAUUUAAGAAUGAAAGCAAUUUAAUUGAAUCAUUUGAAUUACCUAGAAUUCUAAAUUCUUCAAAAUUUCUCAAAUACUCCAUCCAAACACACUCUUAGAGAAUCUAUAAUGAAUAACUCUGAAAAUGAAUUUUUAAGUGUGAUUUAUGUGUACACAUUACACAUUUGUAAUUUUUAAAUAUCAAUUUCUGAUAACCAUUGAACCCUUCCAUUAACUUCAUCCAUAUUCUCCUAGCCAUUAUGUAUAAUUGGCCCUCUAACAAGUACUUGUUUGUACUGUAUUCCAAAAAAUGAUGUUGAUGAGAGACUUACUAAGUAAUGUUUGACAUAGUCGAGUAUUAUUAUAAAAUAUUGAUAAAGUCAAGGACAUUUAUAAGCGCGACUCGUAGAGUUAGAGACCAACUUGAUCAUUUAACUAGCCAUGUUAAAGCUAUUAAUAGUGUCAUCAAACAGUGUUGAUCAAAGGAAUUAACUUAAUAUAACGUUUGAUAAAGUUAGAGACUAUUUUAAAAUAGGAUUUUUCUAUCAUGUGAAAAUUUGCACAUAUUAAGAAGUUUAA